GUCGUGCAGCUAACGAUCGUCUCUGCAGACUAACGAACCAUGCACUCAAGAGAGGAAUAAAAAGACAUAAAGAAACACGACAUGCGUCACGUUGAAACUGGGCCUGCUGCAGGCCGCCUCACCGCGGACUUGUCCGGCUUUUUGCCGGGGGCUUCUGGAGAACCUCAUGCCCUUCACUGGGUGUGUUGGGGAACCAGGACUUUUACUUUGAAAAAAUUAGAGAGUUCAAAGCAGGCCUUUGCUCGAAUACGUUAGCAUGCAAUAAUAGAAUAGGACUCGCGGUCCUAUUUUGUUGGUUUCUAGGACCGCCGUAAUGAUUAAUAUGGACAGUUCGGGGGCAUCAGUAUUCAAUUGUCAGAGGGAAAUUCUUGGAUUUAUUGAAGACUAACUACUGCGAAAGCAUUUCAAAGGAUGUUGUCUUUAAUCAGGGACGAAAGUAGGGGAUCGAAAAACGAUCGGUACCUCCGAC
rnacentral:rRNA from 1 species